rnacentral:rRNA from 1 species
AUUAGACUACCCUGUAGUCCUAGCCGUAAACGAUACUCGCUAGGUGUCGGCCACGGUGCGACCGUUGUCGGUGCCGUAGGGAAGCCGUGAAGCGAGCCACCUGGGAAGUACGGCCGCAAGGCUGAAACUUAAAGGAAUUGGCGGGGAGCACCACAACGGGUGGAGCUUGCGGUUUAAUUGGAUUCAACGCCGGAAAUCUUACCGGGACCGACAGCAACAUGAAGGCCAGGCUGAAGACUUUGCCGGAUUAGCUG